rnacentral:rRNA from 1 species
ACGGAAGGCAGCAGUGGGGAAUAUUGCACAAUGGGGGAAACCCUGAUGCAGCGACGCCGCGUGAGCGAAGAAGUAUUUCGGUAUGUAAAGCUCUAUCAGCAGGGAAGAAAAUGACGGUACCUGACUAAGAAGCCCCGGCUAACUACGUGCCAGCAGCCGCGGUAAUACGUAGGGGGCAAGCGUUAUCCGGAUUUACUGGGUGUAAAGGGAGCGUAGACGGCAAGGUAAGUCUGAAGUGAAAUGCCGGGGCUCAACCCCGGAACUGCUUUGGAAACUAUCUCGCUCGAGUAUCGGAGGGGUAAGCGGAAUUCCUAGUGUAGCGGUGAAAUGCGUAGAUAUUAGGAGGAACACCAGUGGCGAAGGCGGCUUACUGGACGGUAACUGACGUUGAGGCUCGAAAGCGUGGGGAGCAAACAGGAUUAGAUACCCUGGUA